rnacentral:rRNA from 1 species
GAUGAACGCUGACAGCAUGCUUAACACAUGCAAGUCUACUUGAACUUCGGUUUGGGUGGCGGACGGGUGAGUAACGCGUAAAGAACUUGCCUCACAGUUAGGGACAACAUUUGGAAACGAAUGCUAAUACCUGAUAUUAUGAUUUUAGGGCAUCCUAGGACUAUGAAAGCUAUAUGUGCUGUGAGAGAGCUUUGCGUCCCAUUAGCUAGUUGGAGAGGUAACGGCUCACCAAGGCGAUGAUGGGUAGCCGGCCUGAGAGGGUGAACGGCCACAAGGGGACUGAGACACGGCCCUUACUCCUACGGGAGGCAGCAGUGGGGAAUAUUGGACAAUGGACCAAAAGUCUGAUCCAGCAAUUCUGUGUGCACGAUGACGUUUUUCGGAAUGUAAAGUGCUUUCAGUUGGGAAGAAAAAAAUGACGGUACCAACAGAAGAAGAGACGGCUAAAUACGUG